AAAGUGAAUAACCUACAACCGAAGACAGUAGGUGCAAAGUACUUUUUAAAAGUACUUUGCUUAAAAGUUUGCCUACCGAGGUUGUAAUUAUUUAUAAACCCGUCGGUCAAAGAGAUUAAAAUUGUCUUUUGGCAUUGACCGAAUGGGGGAGGGAUAAUUACAGCCUCUUUAAGGUGAACUUAAAGAGGCUUUAAUAAUUUUAUG
rfam:Caldicellulosiruptor owensensis OL, complete genome.